GUGGGGAAUAUUGCACAAUGGGCGAAAGCCUGAUGCAGCAACGCCGCGUGAGCGAUGAAGGCCUUCGGGUCGUAAAGCUCUGUCCUCAAGGAAGAUAAUGACGGUACUUGAGGAGGAAGCCCCGGCUAACUACGUGCCAGCAGCCGCGGUAAUACGUAGGGGGCUAGCGUUAUCCGGAAUUACUGGGCGUAAAGGGUGCGUAGGUGGUUUCUUAAGUCAGAGGUGAAAGGCUACGGCUCAACCGUAGUAAGCCUUUGAAACUGAGAAACUUGAGUGCAGGAGAGGAGAGUAGAAUUCCUAGUGUAGCGGUGAAAUGCGUAGAUAUUAGGAGGAAUACCAGUUGCGAAGGCGGCUCUCUGGACUGUAACUGACACUGAGGCACGAAAGCGUGGGGAGCAAACAGG
rnacentral:rRNA from 1 species